UGGCACUGGGUAGCCUCCUUGGGAGGGAAGGUGACUUCCCCUAACCCAGCUCGGCUCUGGGAAAACCUCCCUCCAGCUCAUGUCAUUUUGCAUCUAUAAGGAUCAAGUGAAAUGUCUCGCGUCUGUCACCGAGAGGGGCCGGGGGGUUCGUUUAUCUUUACGUUCAAUCUGGGACAUAUUAACUGCUCCGGGCUCUCAAAUCUCCCUGCUCUGCCUCUUCCAACCGGGAUUGAAUGGAUCUGUCGAGAGUUUCAACGCUGGAUAUGAAAUGAAGAGAAAAGAGGGGGAAUGGCUGGAGGGCGUGGGCAGAGCUGCGGGCAUCUCCCGGCCCCCAGAGUCCCCCCAGCCCGGCUCCUUGCCUAUCAUGGGGGCAUCUGUGGUUGGCAGGAGGGAUCGGUACCAUUCUCAGGCCCGUGGGGGGCGGGUUGGAGUCAGCCCGGCUCCGAUCGGCAGGCCCCACCUCUGUAAGCAGGUACCCGGGCUGAAACGACCGAAAUAUUUUCAACCCACCCAGCCGGGGCUUCUGCUCGCUGGGGAGCCUCUUCUCGGGGCAGCCCCUGUGGUCGGGGCUGUGCGCGCCGGGCUGCAGGGAGAGCUUUGAAAAUGUAAUAGCAAGUGGGGAGAGAAGGGCUAAGCGAUGCAGUAAGCGACGGUCUGGGCAGGGCGCCGAUGAGCGGCUGGGCUUUCGUUAGGCAAUAGCGCUCCAGAAAUGUGCUCCGUGAAGGCGGCCACCUCGGCCGGUCCAGCUGCGGCUGCGAUAGACCGGAACAGCGCCUGCUCUGUGCUCAGUCGCCGACAGCGCGUCUGCCGGGGGAGCUGGAUGCGAGCGGGAUCUGUCCCGAUUCCCAGCCACAGGGACCCCAGGAGGUCCAUCCAGGGCCAAGAGCUGGUCUCCCUAAUCUGCGUGUCCAAUUGCACCCGGAUCCAGCUUCUCUGUGCUGGGUCCAAAUCAGCCGAGCAGGGAAGAGUCCCGGGGUUUAAUGCGUGCGCUGCUACAUUUUGCGUUUCUAGAGAUUAGCAGGCACCAGAUUAAGCACAGCAGUUAAAUUCCCUGGGCCUUCUGGACCGGUUCCCUCCCUGCCCGGCCCCUGGCUUUGCAGCCUGACAUUUUUUUUUCUUUUUUCUUUUCUUUUCUUUUCUUUUCUUUUCUAAAGUGAGCACAUUUAUAUUUGCAGAGCAACCUGCGGUCCAUGUGCCCGCGAGGUGAGGGUCUGGAGGGGGCUGCUCCAGCGAGGAGAAACAAUAAAGGAAACAUCCCUUUGUGACGUGUCGCUGCCGAACCUUCUAUUUCCCGACGUUCCAGGCGCCUCAAGCUCCGGCGCGCGGGGUGAUGAUUAACUCCAUGCGGGGCCAUGACACACUUACACCUCUUAGAAAAUACUGCUGGGGGACCCCACGCAAGGCGAUUGCCACCCGUUCACCAGAGCCUUGGAUCAAGACCCCAGCCGUGGGCCAGCAGUACCCGGGAUGGCUCUGGGGAGCAAAAGUGCCUCCAGCCUCCGGAGAGCCCGAGCCUGAGAGCCUGGGAGGUGCGACAUUCAGCAGGUCGGCGCCCGAAAGAGCCCAGUCUGCUGCAGCUCGGGUCUGUGAUGCACACUCAGCCCGGCUCUGCACAGCAGCAAGGCUCUCCCAUUGCCCAGAUCAGACGCUCAUUGUAGCUUAGCCCCGUGUUGGUUUCAGAUGUUGCUGCCAAGAUACCCCGGGAGAGGCAGCCUGACGCCGGGAGAGCAGUUGGCAUUCAGGGCACCGUAAAACGCUGGGAGGUUGUAUCGUCUGAGUCGGCAGUGAACUGGGUGUCACACACACACACACACACACACACACACACACACGCUCAUUGCACACACAUUACAGACACACCCAGUCAUUACAUGCUCAUUACACACACGCCCAUUACACACACAUCACACACACGCUCAUUACACACGCUCAUUACAAACACAGUCAUUACACACACAUUACACAGACACACACAUUCAUCAUUACACACACUUAUUACACAGACACACACUCAUUACACACACAUAUUGCACACACAUUCUCUGACUGAUUUUAAUAAGCAUACAGGACCCGGCCUGUAUCCAAGGAUUGUCUUGUCCUCUCAUGUCUGAUGUAUUUGGGAUAAUGGUUUUCCUUAGUGUCACUGUCCCUCUGGCCGGCGCCAGCCCGGUCUGCAGGACAAUCAGCCGUAUUACCCCAACAGCGGAGAAGAAGAGCUGCCUCCAGACAAGACCGGAGCGCGGAGCAAACACACGCGCCGGGGCUUCCGAACAGCUUUUCAGGCUCAUGCCUAUCUCGGGGAAUUGAUUCCCAGCACUAAAAAGCACGACCCUCCCCCCCCCCCACCCCGCGUGGAAAUCACAAAUAUACCGUGGGCCGUGUGUUAUAGCGUUCACUUCGCGACACUCAUUUGGAAUGAGACGGCCGCCAAGUAUGAAUCGUUUUAAAGAAAACCUCCAGCCUUGAAUAUGACGCUGCCCCUUACAUUUAUUGUUUAUUUUUGGGCAAAGUGAUUAAAAACACCCCCUCUAGCUUUUUCAUGACUCUGCUCACCAAAACAUGAAAUAAGGACUGAGGAAACUUCAGGCUUAGCUUUGUUAUUCCUUUCUUAGAAAUUUAGGACAUAGUUUCACCAUUGUCUUAAACAAAACAAAGCAAAACAAAAAAUCCCAAAAAACUAAAAAAAACGAAAACUCGUAGGGAAUGAAAUAAGGUAGUCUGAAAUGGAGAUGCUUUAGGGGAGAGGCACUAAUAGGUAAUAUUUAGACUUGAGAGUUGGGGAUUGUAGCAGUCGUCUCCCAAGACUCUGGGACCUGGGGUCCCAAUGAAGACAGCGCAGCAAAAUUGGGAGCCCUUAGCGCGGCUGUAAACGGCGAUGGGAAGCAAAGCCAGUGUUUUUAUGGUAACCCUCGGUCUGUAGUCAGGGCUUGUUCUCAUAUUACAUGAAAUGUACUUUAAGGAGCACUACCUGCUCCAGCUGUCCAGGAAAAACUGAAUUAUGGAACUAGGAAACAUAUGGCAGUUGCAUAUUGCUCAAGGAAGGUACAUAUGAAAGUUAUAAAUUUCUUUUUUAAGUAACCAUUGUAAACGCAUUUUUAUAGGUUUCACAGUAUGUAUUACAUCUGUCAUUUUAACUUUUGCAAUA